rnacentral:rRNA from 1 species
GACGAACGCUGGCGGCGCGCUUAACACAUGCAAGUCGAGCGAGAACCAGGGCUUCGGCCCUGGGGACAGCGGCGAACGGGUGAGUAACACGUGGAUAACCUGCCCUCGGCACCGGGAUAGCCCGGGGAAACCCGGAUUAAUACCGGAAGGCCCUUCCGGCUCACGAGCCGGUCGGAAAAGGUAGCUUCGGCCUCCGGCCGAGGAUGGGUCCGCGGCGGAUUAGCUUGUUGGUGGGGUAACGGCCCACCAAGGCUCCGAUCCGUAGCUGGUCUGAGAGGACGAUCAGCCACACUGGGACUGAGACACGGCCCAGACUCCUACGGGAGGCAGCAGUGGGGAAUCUUGCGCAAUGGGCGAAAGCCUGACGCAGCGACGCCGCGUGAGGGAGGAAGGCCUUCGGGUUGUAAACCUCUUUCAGGAGGGACGAAGCUACUCGGGUGAAUAGCCCAGAGGGUGACGGUACCUCCAGAAGAAGCCCCGGCUAACUACGUGCCAGCCGCCGCAGUAAUAC